AUUGAACGCUGGCGGCAGGCCUAACACAUGCAAGUCGAGCGGAUGAAGGGAGCUUGCUCCUGGAUUCAGCGGCAGACGGGUGAGUAAUGCCUAGGAAUCUGCCUGGUAGUGGGGGAUAACGUCCGGAAACGGGCGCUAAUACCGCAUGCGUCCUGAGGGAGAAAGUGGGGGAUCUUCGGACCUCACGCUAUCAGAUGAGCCUAGGUCGGAUUAGCUAGUUGGUGGGGUAAAGGCCUACCAAGGCGACGAUCCGUAACUGGUCUGAGAGGAUGAUCAGUCACACUGGAACUGAGACACGGUCCAGACUCCUACGGGAGGCAGCAGUGGGGAAUAUUGGACAAUGGGCGAAAGCCUGAUCCAGCCAUGCCGCGUGUGUGAAGAAGGUCUUCGGAUUGUAAAGCACUUUAAGUUGGGAGGAAGGGCAGUAAGUUAAUACCUUGCUGUUUUGACGUUACCAACAGAAUAAGCACCGGCUAACUUCGUG
rnacentral:rRNA from 1 species